AAUCUUCUCGCUUCCAGCCUGGUUCUCUCACCCGCCUGUAGUUGUGUAAGUUUCACGAAGCAACAGCUUGGGCUGCAGGAAAGCGCAGGGUGAUGGGGAGAGGAAGGACGCGCACAGGUCGGCGUCGUCUCCAAAGACACCCCACACCCCCCGCGUCGCCACAUGCAUCCCCCCCCCCCCGCUAAAAAAAAUCCCAAAGGUUGGUUCUGUUUCGCUUUUGAGUGGCGCCCGUAUUCAUUUAGGGCGAUCUUGCUUUUGAAAAGAAAAAAAAAAGACCAAUAAAAGAUGUCUGAAGUCUAGAGUUGACUGGCCCUACACCACGCUUCUAGGGUUGAGCUGGGAGGUUGUCCUACCCUGUGAACUUUCGCGAACGCGGCGAGCAUUGGGGGACGCUCUCGGCCGCGGCACCGAGGCGCUUGGCACCGGAAAGUUUGCAGCCUGCAGCCGGGCUUCGGGGCUUCGGGGCUUCGGGGGCGAGCGGGGGAAGGGGCGAAGGGAAACGGGGGCAGGGGGACGGGAAGGGGACGCGGGCGUGCGGAGGGGCGGCUGUAGCGAAUGAAGUUUCUUGCAGAAUUUGCAGGACCGGCCAGAGUUGGGGAAGUUGCAGAGCUGCCGCUGAAGGUACAUUUCGGUGACGCAAGAGAAAGAACUCGAACACAGUCCUCGGUGGGGCAGACCCAAGGAAGCAAGCCCGCAGACUGCAGAGGUGUCGCGCCAGUCGUGCUGAGCUUUGUACGGGGGAAGGUGCAGCAGGCUGAGCCUGGCGCGGUGUUGGACACAGUGGACCGGCGCGGACGCAGGACUCGGAGCUGCCCCAGCCGGACCUGCCCGCCGUCGGCUCGGGUCGCGCCGGCUGUGCAGAGUGCAGUGGGCCGGGUGAGGUCGCCGGCCCAACACCGCCCUCCGCGCCUGCUGCGCUGGGAUUUCGUUGAGAAAAUCGAGCAGACGCGGAGGAAGGGGUCAGGAAGGAUAUGAAACGGGAACCCUUGCGAAUUCCGGCCAGCGCUAGAAUGGUGCAGAUCAGUGCAUCUGUGGCGCAUCCUUCUAAAAAUCGACUGGGGUAAACAAGAUCAAUACAUUUUUUUAAAAGGUCUAAAGCAAAAGGCGCAUUACCUCCUCACUCACCUGUUCUGCUUUCCUUGCCUCCCUCCACUGAGAUCUGAAACUUUUCCUUAAUUGUUUUUAUUCACUGCAGCAAGUUUUAAUGAAAGCAUAUGCAUCUGAAGCUUGAGUCACAACCAUAGAUUUAUUGUGAGGUGACAGCAUGUCAACAGCAUAUUUUCACAGAUGAGGGACAGGAUUAUCCUCCAGUCGUGCCUAGAUUAAGGGCAACCACAGAAAUGGAAAUGCGUGCCCGAGGUGCGGACACCGGCUCCUGCAUGUGAGACACAUACACUCACUGUCACAUGACCACUGCCUAUUAAAAUUUGUAAUACCUAAAUACUAUUGCAAAAACAAAAGUUGCUUUUCUUCUCUGUAAUUAAAUCUAAUUUGUUAAUUGUCUUCCUCUUGCAAUGUUGUUUUCAUCUUAUGAGGCGACAUGUUAUUAUUUUGUCUGCUUAAUAAUAUUAUUUACAAAUUAAUACUGUAGAUUACAUUAGCGGAACAUAUAAUUAGAUGUUUGAUUUAAUUUGUAUCAUUUAUUCAGAUAAAACAGAAAGCCUAUCUGCAGGAUGGAUUUGACAAGGGGAGUUGAAGAGUGGGUUCUGUUCUAAUACCUCAGCUUAGUGAAGCUACCUGGCUCUCCAUCCACAAAGCACACUUUUACCUGAGGUGCAUUUGGUACUUUAUCAUGUGCUUAUUUACCUAGCCAUUUAAUACAGAAAAAGUAUUCAAGUAUUACAGCUCUAUUUUCUGUCUCCUUUCAGGCUUUCCCCCUCAAAUCAAAGUUCUUGCCACUGGCUUUCACUCCCUUCUCUCUGGUUCCUCC
rnacentral:lncRNA from 1 species